UACGUAGGGUGCGAGCGUUGUCCGGAAUUAUUGGGCGUAAAGAGCUCGUAGGCGGUCUGUCGCGUCGGUCGUGAAAACUUGGGGCUUAACCCUGAGCUUGCGGUCGAUACGGGCAUGACUGGAGUUCGGCAGGGGAGACUGGAAUUCCUGGUGUAGCGGUGAAAUGCGCAGAUAUCAGGAGGAACACCAAUGGCGAAGGCAGCUCACUGGGACGGUAUUGACGCUGAGACGCGAAAGCGUGGGGAGCAAACAGG
rnacentral:rRNA from 1 species